rnacentral:rRNA from 1 species
CCCUUAGAUGUUCUGGGCCGCACGCGCGCUACACUGAUGCAUUCAACGAGCCUAUCCUUGACCGACAGGUCCGGGUAAUCUUUGAAUCUGCAUCGUGACGGGGAUAGAUUAUUGCAAUUAUUAAUCUUCAACGAGGAAUGCCUAGGAGGCGCAAGUCAUCAGCUUGCGUCGAUUACGUCCCUGCCCUUUGUACACACCGCCCGUCGCUCCUACCGAUUGGGUGUGCUGGUGAAAUGUUCGGAUCGGCCGUUUGUCGCGGUUUCCGCGUCAUGUGGCUGAGAAGUUCAUUAAACCCUCCCACCUAGAGGAAGGAGAAGUCGUAACA